rnacentral:tRNA from 1 species
GCACCUGUGGCUCAAAGGGGUAGGGUGCUGGCCUCUUAUGCCAGAGGUGGUGGGUUCAAACCCAGCCCUGGCACA